AACGAACGCUUGCGGCAGGUCUUAUACAUGCAAGUCGAGGGUGAAGGGCACUUGUGCCCGGAAACCGGCGAACGGGUGAGUAACACGUGGGAACCUACCCAGAAGUGGGGGAUAACCGUUGGAAACGACGGCUAAUACCGCAUAACACUCUACGGAGGAAAGCUUUAGCGCUUUUGGAUGGGCCCGCGGAAGAUUAGGUAGUUGGUGAGGUAACGGCUCACCAAGCCCGCGAUCUUUAGCUGGUCUGAGAGGAUGGUCAGCCACACUGGAACUGAGACACGAUCCAGACUCCUAUGGGAGGCAGCAGUAGGGAAUCUUGCGCAAUGGGGCGAAAGCCUGACGCAGCCAUGCCGCGUGAGUGAAGAAGGCCUUAGGGUUGUAAAGCUCUUUCGACCGCGAGGAUGAUGACCGUAGCGGUAAAAGAAGCCCCGGCUAACUUCGUGCCAGCAGCCGCGGUAAU
rnacentral:rRNA from 1 species